CCUCCGGGGCCCCUCGGUGGCUUCCGGGGAGACGGAGCCAAAGUGUUGUUGCUUUGAGUAGUUGCGAGCGACCCCGGGUCUCAGGGAGGGCUUCAUUGCCGACUGAAGAAACCCAGCGACCUCGGCCUCCGGCUUACCCAGCUCUCCUGCCCGAGGGGCAAAGCCCCCUCCUCUUUUCUUUAGUUUGCACGGGAUGCGCUUUGACUCCGUGAACAGUCUCAUUGUGGUGGUGCCAGCCUUUAAAGCCCGCACCCAGGAGGCAGAGGCAGGAGAAUCUCUGAGCUCGAGCCCAGGCUGGUCUACACAUGGAAAGGCCGUAUUUUGAGGAAUACAUGUAAUGUGUUAAGGAGGCCACUGGAAAAGCCAGACACCCAGGGAAGAGCUCAGGGCUGACAGCCUGAGAGCUGGUCAUUCUGGGAAACCAGAGGCCUUGGCAGUCCCCAUCUGGCAUCUAAAACCUGGAAGGCUCCAGGAGAGUUCUGGAUCUUCAGCCCACCUUGGAAGCCUAAAGAAGCUGGAGUCUGAUGCCACCAGGGGUUGGAGGCAGCAGCAGGAGAGAGAUGCACUUAAGAGGUGAAGGCUGCAGGCUGGCCACACUGCAUAUACCAUGGAGGUCAGCACUGGGAUGCACUGCCCACACGGGAAGAGUCUCCCUGCCUCAGAGACAGACAGGACUUUCAGACCCUGAAUUGAACCCAGCACUCUGUGCACGCAAGAUGAGCAGUCUGCCAACUGAGCUCUAUAUCUGCAGUCCUACUGAAGCCUUUCUGGGCUGGUGAAGUGGCCAGCGGGUAAGAGUACUUUGUCUGCAAGCUUGAGGACUUGACUUGAAUCCCCAGCACAGACUUGGAAAUCCCAGAAUGGUUGGAUGUACCUGGAACCCAGCCUUGAGGUCAGAGACAGACGGAUUCCAAGAGCUCCUUGGCCAGUCAGCAUAGCUUAAAUGGUCCUCCAGCGUUCCUGUCAGACCCUCAUGUCCCCGUCUCCUCCUGUCUUGAACUUUUAACUCCAGAGCCUCUGAGGCCACUUAAGUGUCACACCCCUUGCUGGAGUUAAUGCUAGCGUUGAGAAGAUCCCAGCUCUUGGGUCCCCAAGUGUCUUGGAGGUGAGGAGCCAUGCUGUGCCCCUUCUCCACAAGCCUGUUGCCAGGCUCCUGUCCGACCUCAAGUGACACAUGUGAGUACAACUGAUAAAGAUUCCAUCUGAGGUUUUAAUCUGGAUCCCUGUAUUGAAAUGUAGCUGGUGCCUACCCAGGUCUUUCUUUUAUUAAAAAAAAAAAUGUUGUUGAGUCAAAGCCUUGCUGUGUAACUCAGGCUGGCCCCAAGAUCACAAUGCUCCUGACUCCCCCUUGUAACUGCCGGGCUCGCAGAUGUGCAGUAUCAUCCUGGUUAGUGAGGCUGCCAUGAAAUAAAAACUUCAGUUCAUUUUCCUUGCCAGGAGCAACGAACUGUGUUUAUUCUCCAACUCUAGAAUAAUCUUCAGCUGAUAAAGAGCAAGCACCCCCUUCACACAGGAAGACGAAGUGGAGUCUAACACCUGGUGGUUGGUGUUGGUUGACACUCUCCAAGGACUCUCUAGUCUGUUCAGUUUUUCCUCACCACGACUAUCUCGAGGCAUGACCCACAGAGAGCACUGUUCCCAUUUUACAGAUGGGGAGAUGGAGGCAAUGACAAACUCAUUGCCUCAUCCAUUCUCAUGCCAUCUUCCAGGGACUGAGGUGGUAACACGGAGCCAUCGCAUGUGCCCAUGUACCGUUUCUCCAUCCAGGGCCACUGCUGUUAGAACACAGAAUUCCUGUGGGCCUGGAUCAAGCGUGGCAUGUGCUCAACUCCAGUCUUCACUUACUUCCCGGGAAGGCUUGUGUGGCGUAUAGCUUGCAACUUGUGUAGCUUUGCUCUGUCUUUCGCUGAUCUCCUGCCGUACCUGGGCAUAAAGGGUUAAAGGAGUUGACAGAACGCUGUGCGGUGGUGGAGGAAAGCCUAGAUACUUGGUGCGGAGUGUGCAAUGAGUCAGGACAGACACGUCUUCAUGCUCAGUCUCCCUGCACUGUUGCCUCGGGGUUGACUCAGGGCUCCCACAACGGUACCUUCAGAGCAGAGUGAGAGGUUUCUAGAUUGUCACAGCUCUCUCCCUCCGGACUGUGUCCUUUCCCUGAGUGUUACGGCCUAUUGGCUGGGACAAUUCAUAAUCCUUUUGCAGUCUUGUGGCACCGACUACAUACCUACAGAUGGGUGUGUGCUUGUUGGGGCCCAGUAUGGGGCCAUCCCGCACUGAGGGGGGCGGUUUAAAGGAGAGGCACAUGGUGAUGGCGGCCGCAGUAGGAUUCUAUUUCGUCUCACUGGGAUUUUCAAGUCAACCUUGGCCUUCUGAUGGGGACAUUUUAUGUCGGCAUGGCUACAGACUGCUUCUUUCUUUCAGUCAGACUGAGGGACAUUGUUAGUAAGGAGUUAAAGACGAUGUCUGGGGUAGAAUGGGAAGUGCCGGGCCUGACCGUUAUCUGUCAGUGGUGGAGAGCAAUCUUUGCUGUCUCUAGAAUCUUCCAGAGCACCAGGUUUAUUAGGCUGGGCCUGUCAGAAUAAUAGGUUCCUGAUUAAUCUACAGAGGUUGCUGAUAACCUGGCCUGGUCUAGACAGGGUGUGAGCCGGGGAGUGGCUCCUUAGAUAAGCCACCCAGAGCUGCUCCUAGGUCGUUUGGGACAUUAUCUGUUGUUUUUAUAACACAACUGUGUAAACAGAGCGACCCAGCCUCGGGAAGGAGACCCUUUGCUCCCGCAGCCUCCCUGUCCCCUUCCUGCCAGUUUUUGCCCUUCUUGGGUGGCUUAAGGAUUAUGUCCAGAUACUUUAAUCCCCCAAACAAACAUGAUCCAUCACUUGCAUUUCUCCACUUUGACUUAAUUAAAAAAAAUCUGCCUGUCUUUAAUUAUUCUGGAUGUGUAUUGUCUGUCUAGAGGGAGGUGAAUGGACAGGUGGGAACCCUAUCCCAGGGGCCAAGCAGGAAGUGUGACCCACUGUGCCCUGGCUUCUGAAUUCUCACACACAGCACUUUUACUGCAUGGACGGUUGACUCACUGAUCAAUGGGUCCUGGCAGCUAUAAAAAUUUUAUGGCUGUCUGUGACAGCCUCUAGAGGAGUCUAGGUAUACAGGGCUGUAAGAGGAGGAGUUUUACUCAUGGGGGAGGGAGGGGCAACUCCCAGAAGGGCAGAUCAAAACCAGGUGAAGGAUUCGGUUACACGGGGACUUCAUUAUGUGGCAGGGGACAGUGAGGUGCCUGAUGUUCAGCGUUCCCAGGCUAAGAGUGUUUAUUUAUUCUCAGUUGUCGCAACAAUUCUAAGGAUAAUGUGACUAGUGUUCCUUUGGGGACCGUGAUGGGAAAGGUCAGGGGCUUGCCUGCCACCUUCUAAUUCUCCUGCUCUCUAUCAGUGUCUGAGAAAUCAGCCCUUGCAGUCUGGUCGGUUGACACAUGAUAUGUGAGGCUGAUAGCCCCCAUAGAACAGAAAGUCCAGAUUGUGCAUUAAUUUCUUUUCUGACUGACCCCUAUGAACUUUUGAGGUGUGUUACUUAUUUUUUGCUCUGAACUAAAAACAAAACAAGCAAAACAAAACAAAACAAAAACCAAAGAAAAAUUACAACAACUUUGUAAUCUUAGGUUUCAGUGUGCUGAUACAACCAGAAGACAGUCGUGUAAUCUUAGGUUUUAGUGUGCUGUUACAACCAGAAGAGAGACAGUAGUGACUGCAGAAUGGUGGCGUGAAGGGGUGAAAGGCGUGUGCUCUCAAGGUAUACUGAGCAUUGCAUUAUGUCAGCCUGUUGCAUUUCCCCAUGGAAACCACACAGAGAGCUUAAUCACUGAGCCACAAAAGGCCUUCUGAAGUCAUGAGUUUCCAGUGGCCAGUUAGCAUUGCCAUAGCCACUAACACCUCCCUUUGUUUGUCUACCCAAAGGCUUAAAAAAAACCAAAACAACAACAACAACAAAACAAUCAAACAACAACAACAACAGCUCAGGAGCCUUGUGCUCUGAGGAGGCCUUCUCUUCGAUUCCAUGACACUUAAGAGUAGAAGAUGUAGAGAGGGAAGUGUCCUGCUUAGUAUUUGUUGUUGCCAUCUCUUGAGAUAGCUAUCCUACAAUCAUUAUGUAAUCCAGGCUGGUCCCCAUCUCUUGAUCCUCCUGUCUCAGGCUUUCAAGUCCUGGAAUUGCAGGUGUGAGCUACAGAGCCCAGCGCUGCACCUUCCGGAUCUUUCCACCAGGGUGCGUUUCUCUCACACCUGUGCGGUGUGAGUAGUUUUGGUUUAACAGGGACGAGGUGCUAUGGACUUGACCAGGCACCACAUUCAACAGGCAACACGAUGAACUUGUGCUGUGGAGUGUGGCUCAAGACUGUAAUUUGUAGUCAUGCCACCACACUGGUGGGUGGGGGUGUCAAGCCCUGUGGUUCCUCUUGGUGGCAUUCUCUUUGGGGACCCAGCCUGUGCCACACUAUUCCUGACUGGCAUGUACAGUUGUAUAAAUAGCAGGCCCCGUGUGUCCCAUGCUUUGGAGAGAGACAGCGGUGAAAAGAGUGAGUGUGCGGUGUACUGCUUGGCUCACAGGUUAUGAGGCUUUGCUCACCCAUUUCCUUGUUAUUCGAACUGUCUAGCACAAGGCCUGGCCGGCAGGAGGCACCUCAUCAGUACGUAAAUGCUGAGUGAGUGAAACAAACUACUACUUUUGGGAAAUGUGUGCCAACACUGUGGGAUUUUAAAAUAUUUACUGCAUAUUUAUUUACCUGUGUGUAGAUGCAUGACCCAAGGUGCAUGAACCAUGUCAGUCCAGGGAUUGAAUUUGGGUCACCAAGCUUGGCAGCAGAUACCUUUACCAGCUGAGACAUCUCACCAGCUGAAUAAUUUUUUUAAUGCACAAAAAAUUAUGUGAUGUAAUGCCAGGUACAAUUAAAAUAGUUUACCUUUAUCAGAACAUUUAAUCUUUGUC